ACUCCUACGGGAGGCAGCAGUGGGGAAUAUUGCACAAUGGGCGCAAGCCUGAUGCAGCCAUGCCGCGUGUAUGAAGAAGGCCUUCGGGUUGUAAAGUACUUUCAGCAGUGAGGAAGGUGGUGCAGUUAAUAGCUGUAUCAUUUGUACGUUAGCUGCAGAAGAAGCACCGGCUAACUCCGUGCCAGCAGCCGCGGUAAUACGGAGGGUGCGAGCGUUAAUCGGAAUUACUGGGCGUAAGCGCAUGCAGGUGGUUUGUUAAGUCAGAUGUGAAAGCCCGGGGCUCAACCUCGGAAUUGCAUUUGAAACUGGCAGACUAGAGUACUGGUAGAGGGGGUUAGAAUUUCAGGUGUAGCGGUGAAAUGCGUAGAGAUCUGAAGGAUACCGGUGCGAAGCGGCCCCUGGACAGAUACUGACACUCAGAUGCGAAAGCGUGGGAGCAAACGAGGAUUACGAUACCCCGU
rnacentral:rRNA from 1 species